rnacentral:lncRNA from 1 species
GCCGCCGCUCGCAGCCCCCGGCAUGGUCGCGCCGCGCUGGCUCCUGGCGCUGCUGCUGCUGCUCUGGCUCGCCCUGUCCGCCGCGGGGCCGCUGGGCGCUGCGCCAGACAGGCAGGAUGUGGACGACGGCCUCAUCCGGAUGCUGGUGCGGCCACGGGGUGCGCGGCGCGGGGCUGGGCACCGGCCCGGUGGCUGGCGCAGGUACCGGAGACCCCGGCCCCGGCUCUCACACAAGGGCCCGAUGCCUUUCUGAGGCAGGGGUGCCCCCAGCCUGCCCAGGACACGGCUCCCACUGCCCGCACGGUGCCAUAACCCAUGCUGCUCAUGCCCCGGCCCCGAGCGCAGGGUCCCACCCGUGAGCCCUCGGCUGGAGCCACCUCGUCCCCGUGGCUGCCCCUGGAGGCCCAGCACCGUGUCUAGCUCAUGUGGCACCAGGUGCUGCUGCGAUGGUGGGCUUUGACCAAAGCACUUUGUCAGGCAGAGGAGCUUCUCCAGCUUGCCCUGGGUGGGGGGGUCCUAUUUAUUCCCCUGGUGCUAACCCCGCACCCUGGGUGAGCUGCUCUCCCCUUCCCGCUACCAGAUCCCCCUCCUGGGGACCCCCAAGGCGUGGGGCGCCAGCCCAGGACAACGUGGGGGACUCCAGACCCCUCUGCCUGCUCCAUGCCAUGGGACAGCGGGAGAAUGGGGGGUACUGGGAUCUCUGUAUCAAGCACUGACAUAUGCCAAAGGAGGGGCCCUUGCUCUGAGCUGGGCCCUGUUGACCAUGUCUCAUGUCUGUAAAGAUUUAUUCUGUGUAAAUACAUAUUUGUAAUAAAGAGUUCUGAUGACAAGAAA